GGAUGUGAGGGCAAUCUGGCUGUGACAUCUGUCAUUUCAUUGACUGCCAGGAUUGAUUUGUUCCACUGAUCUGGCUGGCUAGGCAGCUGUCUCCUUUCCUCAGUGUUCCAUUUGCAUCCCUCCCAAAGCUGCUUCUCGAUGGAAGAGGAUGACUUUCUCCAAAUAAAGGAGGACCCAUCUUCAGUCAGGGAUAUAUGAGCAGCUGUGUUCCCUACUAGAACCUCAAACAAGCUCUCAUUUUAAAAAUUAUUUUUAUUUAUUAUUUAUU
rnacentral:sRNA from 1 species